GCUCUUGGGACAUUGCCACUGGCUCCUUGUAGCCUAUGAUAGUGUGGCUAUUUCCAUGUGGACCCCUGUAGCAGAUGGGGUAUCCCCUGACUAAAAAUGCCUGAGCUGUUGCCUGGGAUUGUGCUGUGUUUUUCAUGAUCUGGUCCUGUGUUUCCCAGUGCAGGAUCUCACCUUUCAGCUUUUUAGUACUCUAUUAACCCACAGCAAUGCCAUUGCAUGUGGGCUUUCUUAUGCACAACAACCCCUGCUGCUUACAUUGAAGCUUUGGGACCCUGAUAGUGAUAUCAAUUAAUGAGAAUUCUUAGUUAGCACAACAAGAAGGCUCUUCUUAGUAAUGGGCACCUUGCUACAGGCUUUGUGAAGGCAAGGCUUUUUAAAUGGACAGCCACAGACCACUCUGUCCAUUACAGUGGGUCCUGUGGAAGUUGAAGGAAAGCUCCUGCCAGGGGUCCACUAUUGUUUUACAUUGACCCCACUGAGCAGAGCUUCAGGCAUCUGCUAUGUGGUGCUUUACAUUAGCAAGAAGUAAUGAGUGUUUAUUCCAUAUCUCUCAGCAUCCUGAGAUACAAAUCAGAAGUACGUUCCCCAGAGCAAGGGCAAGGGCCAGCCUGGGGUCAUUUCAGAGAGGAAGAAACAGGGAGAGAAUGCAAAAGUUAAAGUUAUUCUGGUUUGUGUUAGAACGAUCUUCCCGUCCUAAAAAUCUCUCAUGGUAAAAAAAAAAAAAAAAGAAUAUAUAUGUGUGUAUUUUAGCCAUGUGAUGCUCCUUUCACACUGCAGAAUUUCCAUCAAGUUUUCAUUGUAUGAUUGCCUGUCAGGCAGUCAGGUCCAGCCCCUCAGCACAUGGUGCAGGGUAUGGCAAUGUCACUUGUCUUGAUGCAGAUUCCAGCUUUAAACGUGCAGUUAGAGCCUGGGAGUAGAGGCCAUAUCAUCCUGCCUUAAAAGAUUUGAGGACACAGUGCUUAGCAAAUAAUAAUAAUAGAUAAAUAAAAAGGAAGCCAGGCUUCAAAGAAUCCCAAUGCUUGAUCUGCUGUUGCCAUUGCAAGUGGCUUUUGGAGGGCAUUUAGACCACCCCCUGCAAACAAGUAGGUACAUUCUUAGAGUCUGGACCCCUAUGAGCACAUUCAUCAUGCUAGCACAGACAUGAGAGCUAGGGCACAGGCAUACAUUUGUGUCCAAUUCUGUUCAUGUGCUAGAGACUUAGAAAAUGCUCCAAAUACACUGGUAAAAGUGUGUGCACCGUUCUCCUUGUACCUCUGCCAGCUCCCGCAGCACGUAACACCUGGUGGGCAUACCGGUUUCAGUCUGGUUUGGAGUGACGUCCCACUGCAGCCCAAUGGUGCCCAGCAAAUGCUGGGUGAGGGAAAAUGUUUUAUCACCCCACUGCAUCUAAAGCUAUAGUUUGACACGCUUUUUAGGAAACACAGUCACCAGAAAAAGUGGUUCCCACCCUGUUUUUUCCCAGCUUCUUGCUGUUAUCAUCUGCUAAGAAAAGUUUUCCAAUGGCUGUGCCAGUUUAAAAACAUGUAGAAUGAAUUCUCUGCUAGCCAGCAGUGAGCCACUUGUGACCCCUAAGCUUCAGGCAGUUCACAAUUGACCCUGAUGCGGCUUCUGCACCAGGGCUGUUUGGAGCACCCAGGCUGCCCACAGCCCAAAAGGGAGGCUACGGGACCAAGCAUCUUCUCUACGGAUUGUGGGCCAUGUGGCUGUUUUGUAGUGUGCUAUCUUUAUGUCCCAUCUCACUCAGUCUUUAUUCAUUCUAUCCUUUUAUUAAAUUAUAACUGCCUCAAG
rnacentral:lncRNA from 1 species